rnacentral:rRNA from 1 species
UACGUAGGGGGCAAGCGUUAUCCGGAUUUACUGGGUGUAAAGGGAGCGUAGACGGUACGCCAAGUCUGAAGUGAAAUGCCGCAGCUUAACUGCGGAACUGCUUUGGAAACUGGCGGGCUAGAGUGCGGGAGGGGUAAGCGGAAUUCCUAGUGUAGCGGUGAAAUGCGUAGAUAUUAGGAGGAACACCGGUGGCGAAGGCAGCAUACCGGCGCCCAACUGACGCUCAGGCACGAAAGCGUGGGUAUCGAACAGG